rnacentral:rRNA from 1 species
ACAGAGGUGGCGAGCGUUGUUCGGAUUUACUGGGCGUAAAGGGCGCGUAGGCGGCCGUGUGUGUCGGGUGUGAAAUCCAUGGGCUCAACCCAUGAAGUGCGCCCGAAACUGCACGGCUCGAGUGCGGGAGGGGAGAUCGGAAUGCAGGGUGUAGCGGUGAAAUGCGUUGAUAUCCUGCAGAACACCGGUGGCGAAGGCGGAUCUCUGGAACGCAACUGACGCUGAGGCGCGAAAGUCGGGGGAGCAAACAG